CCGAGACAUGGAUGAGUCAGGACAUGCCUUCCCUGCCGACUCACCCGGCCUGCUCGGGAUCAGAAUCAGCCAACACCCAUUCCCAACACACUGGUUACACCAUCCACUUGCCACCCUCGAGCUGGGACCCACCCAGCUCUGCCUUUAAGGGUGGCGCUCGGCUUGCUGUUCUGCGGAGGCCCACACCCUCUCUGUGGCUUUAUCCUCUACUUUAACCCUCCCACAGAAGCACAGACAGAUUAUUCCGGCCCCUGGGAAGCACCUCCAGUUCUCAGGCAUCGGGGGAAGCCAGCCGCCAUAUCCGGGCUACACUCAAGCAGCCCUGUGAAAAGCCCAAUGGCAAGGAACUGAGGCCUCCAGUCGCCAGCAGUGUGAGUGAGCCUGGUUGCUACUGGAUCCCCCAGCCCUGAUGGAGCCUUCAGAUGACUGCAGCCCUGGCCAACAGCUUGAGCACAACCUCACGAGAGACUCCGAGCCAGAACCACCGAACUAAGCUGCUCCUAGAUUCCUGACCCACAGAAACUGUGAGAUAGUAAAUGUUUAUUUUAAACCACUAA